rnacentral:lncRNA from 1 species
GCAGAUGACACUUACCAAAAGCAGAUCAGAACAUGAGAAGGCCUUUUGCUCUUGGAGGUUCUGUUUUUAUAGAGUGAGAUGUAGAUGCAUUUAACGCUCAUAUCCUCUAGUCAGGAUGAGUUAAAUUUUUUCAGGAGAUCUUAGCCUUGGUCACUGCAUUUCUCAGCAAACAGCAUAAUACCUGCAUCUUCUCUUUAAACUGGAGUUGACCUUCCAGCUUCAGCUAGAGCAGUGUUGAGAGGCAUUGGACAGCUGCUAUAUUGCAAAUCAAAGCUGGCUGCCCUUUUCAAUAGGCUUGGCAGUGUAGCCUAGUGCUUUCAGAGAGAGAGUUCAAAGGAUAGCCUUUAGAGUAGCAUAAGAAAUGGUCAGCAAGGAUCAUCUUAUCAUUAAUUGUUGUUUUCUUUUUUUUUUUCCAGAUGCCUUUUCUGAUGACUGGAAAAAAGAAUUUUGGAAACUACCAUAUUCCUUGCUUUGUUGCUUCUAUCUUCCAAAUUCUGCUGCUGCUGAGACAGAUCUCUGCUCUAACAUGGCCAGUCCUAACUCUGGAAAGGAUCCUGGGCAGGCGUUGAAAAUAAGGAAGAGAGAGGAAGAAAACCACAAAGAAAGAGGCAUACAAAAAGUUUAA